rfam:Myotis lucifugus cont2.2605, whole genome shotgun sequence.
GGCAGUUCUCAGGUGAGGCACCCUGGAAUCAGGCUCCCUCCUCUCUGUUCCAGGUGCAUCACCUGAGAACCACA